GAGGAACCCCAGGGUAGAGCCAGAGCAGCUGAGAACUUGUCCCCCGGCUGCAGCGCCUGCGCCAAGAUCCGGACAUGCAGGCUCAGCGGCCAUGGCUCACGGGCCCAGCCGCUCCAUGGCAUAUGGGAUCUUCCCGGACCGGGGCACGAACCCAUGUCCCCUGCAUCGGCAGGCGGACUCUCAACCACUGCGCCACCAGGGGAGCCCUCCAGGGAAGCCCUCCAAUAAAUAUUUUUAAAGUGAACACUGUGGAGUGACAUCAACAUCAGGGCAGAGACAGAUGCUUUCUUUGUCUCCCCUCUACAACGUACGACCAUUAAACAUCCACAAUUCAGCAUAGAUACCUCUUCCCAACACACCAGGAAACCGGAGAAUCCCAUAGACCUGUACAUCUAAAGGUGGUUGGACUGUAACACACAAAGGACGCAGAACUGGGGAACCAGUGGAGGCAGUGCCUGCAGUACUUGUCCCCCAGCUGCAGCAGUUGAGCUGGCAGCCACAGAGAACACAGAAGCAGCAAGGGAGGUGGCACACACGACUCUGACCUCCUGGCCAUAGCAAUGCUUGUGGCGACAGAUAUCUGGGCAGCAGCGGCGGUGGGACCUGUGACACCAUCCCUCCAGCUACAGAGGCACCCACAACUCCAGCUCGCCCAUCCAUCACCACCCACAGCAGCGUUGCCAGCGAACCUCGCAACCCUGGAUAUGGCAGAAGUGCCCAUGAUCCCAGCUCCCCCUCCCCCUUCUCCUCCCCCGGAAGAGGUGGAGCCUGUGACUCAGGAGAUCUUGGAUGCGGUGGAAGCACCUGCCAUUUUGGUGCCCCGGACGGCGACGCCAGGGACACGAGCAGUAGAAAGGCCCUAACAACCCUAGAGACACAAGCAGGGACAAGAAGGCACCAAACUACACCUCUGACAGAGGCAGUGGAGGGUGGAAAGUGCCAACUCUCAACCAGAGGCACGCAGUUUUUGUUUCAUACUGUAAUCCUCCGCCCUCUGGUAGAGUGGAGUGGGAAGAAAAGAAAUCUCCAGGACUGGAUAAGAAAAAAGUAUAUCAGAAACCAACACAGCUAACCUGAGGGACAGAUUUAGAACUCUUACCAAUUUCUCAUUGAAGCACCUUUCUUACCACCUCUAAAAGAUCUCUGCUACUGAUUUCACCAUUAAGGUGACCCCCCUGAACAUGGCCCCAGUGGUUCACAUGCCAGAACCCUUGUGCCUCAUCGAGAACACUAAUGGGCGACUGUUGGUUAAUCCGAAAGCUCUGAAGAUCCUGUCUGCCAUUCAGCAGCCCGUUGUGGUGGUGGCUAUCGUGGGCCUCUACCGCACCGGCAAAUCCUACCUGAUGAACAAGCUGGCUGGGAAGAACAAGGGUUUCUCUGUUGGAUCCACGGUGCAGUCUCACACCAAGGGCAUCUGGAUGUGGUGUGUGCCUCACCCUGAGAAGCCAAACCACAUCCUGGUUCUUCUUGACACGGAGGGACUUGGAGACGUAGAGAAGGGUGACAAGAAGAGUGACACCCAGAUAUUUGUACUGGCACUACUACUGAGUAGUACCUUUGUAUAUAAUACUAUGAACACAAUUAACCAGAGGGCUAUCGACCUCUUGCACUAUGUGACAGAACUGUCAAACCUGCUCAGAACAGUUACCUCACCUGAUCUUCAUGGGGUAGACAAUGCAGCUGACUUUAAGAGCGUCUGUCCAGACUUAGUGUGGACUGUGAGAGAUUUCUACCUUGACCUGGAAGCAAAUGGGCGACUCAUCACAGCUGAUGAGUACCUGGAGAAUUCACUGAGGCCAAAGCAGGGCACUGAUCAACAUCUUCAAAAUUUUAAUUUGCCCCGUCUGUUUAUACAGAAAUUCUUUCCAAUAAAGAAAUGCUUUAUUUUUGACUUGCCCACUCAUCGGAAGAAGCUUGCCCAGCUUGAGACACUGCAUAAUGAUGACCUGGAUCCUGAAUUUGUACAACAAGUGGCAGAUUUCUGUUCCUACAUCUUCAGCCAUUCCAAGACUAAAACUCUUUCAGGAGGCAUCAAGUUCAAUGGAUCUCAUCUAGAGAGCCUGGUACUGACCUAUGUCAAUGCCAUCAACAGUGGGGAUCUGCCCUGCAUGGAGAACGAAGUCCUGGCCUUGGCCCAGAUUAAGAACUUGGCCGCAGUGCAAAAGGCCAUUGCCCACUAUGACCAGCAGAUGGGCCAGAAGGUGCAGCUGCCCACGGAAACCCUCCAGGAGCUGCUGGACCUGCACAGGACCAGUGAGGAAGGUGCUAUGAAAGUCUUCAUGAAGAACUCUUUUGAGGAUAUAGACCAAGGGUGCCAGGAAAAAUUAGAGACCCUGCUAGAAGCCAAACAGAAUGACUUUUGUAAACGGAAUUUGGAGGCAUCACUGAAUCGCUGUUCAGCUUUACUUCAGGAUAUUUUUUGUCCUCUAGAAGAAGAUGUGAAGCAAGGGAUUUAUUCAAAACCUGGGGGGCAUCGUCUCUUCCUUCAGAAGAGAGAAGAGCUGAAGGCAAAGUACUAUCAGGAGCCCAGGAAAGGAAUACAGGCUGAGGAAGCUCUGCAGAAAUAUUUACAGUCCAAGGAGUCUGUGAGUGUUACCAUUUGGCAGACAGAUCUGGUUCUCACAGCAAGGGAAAAGGAGAUGGAAGAGGCACGUGUGAAAGCAGAGUUUAUGAAGGCUGAAGAGCAAAGGUUGGGAGCAAUUCUAAUGCAGCACCAGCAAAUGAUGAAGCAGAGGGAGAGACUCCAUCGGGAACAAGUGAGACAAAUGGAGAUAAACAGAGUGUACCAGCAGGCACUGCAACAGAGGGCCCAAGAACGUCGGCUCAAGGAGGAGGCUGAAAAGCUCAAGGAGAGAUUCCAAGCUGAGAGCAGAAAACUUCAGGAUGAGAUCCAGCAUCUCCAGAGGAAUGACUCACCAGAUGAUACAUAGUUUUAUUAUGCUGAAUUUCCCAUAAUCAGAUAGGACCUUGUGCUGUUCAGCUGUAUUUCUGGACUUGAACUGAACAUCCGAAGACUCUAGAUAACACCCCCAAAAGAGGAGGAGCAGGAUGGAGGAGAGUGGAGGAGAAAAAGAAGAGAACAAGGCAGUUGAAGGAAAAGUGAGAUUGGAUCUUAGGACCAAGGGUGAAGAUGCUCUUUCUAAUUGGCCUCACUUGAGAGGCACCAAAUCUGUUUCUGUGGAAUGGAGUUAGGGCAAAAUGAGAAACAAUCAGGACUCCAGGGCUGUAUCUGCAGUAGUGCUUAUGAUCACCAUUGAUGAUGUGGCUUGAAGUGAAUU